rnacentral:pre_miRNA from 11 species
GACCGCACGGAAUAAUUGAUUAUCCCGUGCGGUCGAGUUACAUAGCGAAACCGCACGGGAUAAUCGAUUAUCCCGUGCGGUU